UCUGAAUGCAGAGCCCCCGGCUCGCUGGAGCAAAUUGCAUCAUCUCGUUCGGCCCGUUUGCGAGCGCGGAGCCUAACGAGGUCAGACAGGCCACCAGAGUGUCGGGGGGAGGCAGGGACCGUGGAGAGAGUCUGGCUCCAAAGCUCCCUCAAGUCACCCGGAUGGCGUGAACCUGAGACAGCUUACCCACUCCCUUCUUCACCCACCCUCCCAAAGCCGGUCCCCUUACCCAGACUCUCCCAUCUUCCGGCUUCUUGUGUAUGCGUAUAGGGUGCUUUUGGCUGCCUAUUUCUUUCGUCCGUCUCCUAGGACGUAAGACCCGCCAGUUAAGGAACAUCAUCCGUUUUGUUCGCCGCUGGAACCCACAUCCGGGCCGGCUCCAUGGUAAGCGAUGGACAGAUGUCUGCGGGGUGACUAAAUAAAAUGUCUUGUGAGGGUCAAACGAGAUGACGUCUGUCUGUAUUAAGAAAAGCGCUGGCAAAGAGUGUUAAAACAUGAAGCUUGGCAUGAGGGCUGCACCGUGACCAUGGCUGCCUCAUGAGGCCAACACAUAGCCCGGGCGUCCCGCGUUCUUAGCAAUCAUCACCCAGACCUUCCUGAGCGACAGUUCACACGCCGCCUCCCGGGCCCGGCCGCACUGAGUUAGGAAUCAGAGCGCGGACGCCGGGAACCCUGAGGUUGCCUCUCUGACGUGGGAGCCCCGGGCACCUGGGGAGCAGAUGGUCUCCUCUUCCCCAUAACCCUUCCCUCCUGUCCAUCACGCUAAUGGCCUCCAUGUGCCCGGAGCCCGUGGGGAGUCUCGCCCGCGCGUUUGAGGAGAUUAGCGGCCUCUGAUGUUCGCGAUGAAGUUCGGAGAGGCAUCUGGAAGCAAUUUUAGUGAAGGAAUGAGCGAUUUCGGGCUUAAACAACACCCGCCUUUCAAAAAAGAAAUACGGGGAGCGGGCAGCCCGGGAACCGCCAACUUCACGCCUCUCUCUCUUUUUGUGGGUUUUCCUUAAAAGAGAAAAAAAAGCUCCC